rnacentral:rRNA from 1 species
AUGUCUAGGGGGUCUGAGAGGAUGAUCCCCCACACUGGUACUGAGACCACGGACCAGACUCCUACGGGAGGCAGCAGUGAGGAAUAUUGCGCAAUGGAGGAAACUCUGACGCAGCCAUCCCGCGUGCAGGAUUGACGGCCCUAUGGGUUGUAAACUGCUUUUCUAUACCAAGAAACACCGAUACGUGUAUCGGUUUGCCGGUAGUAAUAGGAAUAAGCAUCGGCUAACUCCGUGCCAGCAGCCGCGGUAAUACGGAGGAUGCAAGCGUUAUCCGGAAUCACUGGGUUUACAGGGUGCGCAGGCCGGAAUAGUAAGUCAGAGGUGAAAGCCCACAGCUCAACUGUGGAAUUGCCUUUGAUACUGUUAUUCUUGAGUGUAGUUGAAGUAGGCGGAAUAUAGCAUGUAGCGGUGAAAUGCAUAGAUAUGCUAUAGAACACCAAUUGCGAAGGCAGCUUGCUAAACUAUAACUGACGCUGAGGCACGAAAGCGUGGGGAGCGAACAGGAUUAGAUACCCUGGUAGUCCACGCCGUAAACUAUGAACACUCGCUGUUGGCAAUACACAGUCAGCGGCUGAGCGAAAGCGUUAAGUGUUCCACCUGGGAAGUACGAUCGCAAGGUUGAAACUCAAAGGAAUUGACGGGGGCCCGCACAAGCGGAGGAGCAUGUGGUUUAAUUCGAUGAUACGCGAGGAACCUUACCUGGGCUUAAAUGUAUAUUGACGUACUGAGAAAUCAGUAUUUCUUCGGACAAUUUACAAGGUGCUGCAUGGUUGUCGUCAGCUCGUGCCGUGAGGUGUCGGGUUAAGUCCCAUAACGAGCGCAACCCCUACUUCUAGUUACCAGCAUUUCGGAUGGGGACUCUAGAGGAACUGCCUACGCAAGUAGAGAGGAAGGUGGGGAUGACGUCAAAUCAGCACGGCCCUUAUGUCCAGGGCUACACACGUGCUACAAUGGCCGGUACAGAGGGCAGCUACAUAGCAAUAUGAUGCUAAUCUCAAAAGCCGGUCUCAGUCCGGAUUGGAGUCUGCAACUCGACUCCAUGAAGCUGGAUUCGCUAGUAAUCGCACAUCAGCAAUGGUGCGGUGAAUACGUUCCCGGGCNUUGUACACACCGCCCGUCAAGCCAUGGAAGUUGGGGGUACCUGAAGUCGAUUGCCGUAAGGCGU